AUGGACACGCACAUAUAUCAACAUGGAGCUGAUUAGAUGCAGAGAUAGAUUAUCUGAUUUUCAAUCCAGACCAGCACGUUAGGUGAAGGGAGAUGUGUGUUCAGUAUUAUCAACUUUGUGUGUGUAGAUUGUUGUGAAUAGCCAGAAAAGCAUUGCAGAUCACACUGCCAUCUCCCGAUUACAGUGCAGACAUUCGAUCACAUAGCAGGAAUUCCUAAGAAGAUUUUAGUACGGUCUUUUAUCUAAUACCAAUUUUAGUAUUUAUUGCACUUUAUUUUAAAAUCAAAGUGAGGGGAGUGAACCCCGAAGAGGUCACCAGACAAAAGACGCUGUUUAACCACUUGGUCAAGGACUCAUCGUUAAUCCACUGUUAUGGCUUCGUGUAUGUACCUACUCCUGACUCUGGCCAUCAUGCAAGGCUACAGCGUGGCUGCGUCCACAAUGGAGAAGAAGUCAGACAACACUCAGUCAAUAGCCCAAGCCUCAUUUUAUGACUACUGUAAUGCUCUAUGUCAAGUUGCAGCUUGCCCACCACAAUGCAUGCAAGCGCCAAUCGGACCCUGGUCACGAAAACGGGCUGCAAUUACCAGGAAAAGGGCCUUCGACCAGACCGCAUUUAACGGAUUAACGUUCGAUGAUUAUGGAUGGUUCAUGAAGUUACUAGGACGGGACGUCGACAAACGAAACAGCUGAAAGGUGUGUUGCCAGGACAGAUCCCAGGAGAAAGCUCGUUGAUAUGUGUAUGGCCCUUUCAAAUAGUGGAACAUUCUAUUUUUCUUGUUGCGACAAAUUAGAAAAGACGGCCUGACGAAGCAACGGUUGGACAUUUAUGAGAUUUUUUUGUUCUUUGUACGAUAAGAUUUCUGUGAAUUCUUACAGAAAAGUUAUUUUUAAAUUUGUGCUGUUGUUGUCUAGUUGACUAUUUCCGCACAUGACCUACAUCUUAACUUAGAACUAUUGAAGCGAAAAUGAGAUAACACUAACUUAGUUUGAAACUACAUGUAAUUUAUACUGGAAGUUUCGCGCAAUUGCUGGAAUUUUUUUCUUUCAAAAAGUUCAUAAAACUUUCACAUGUGUACUAGUUUGGUUUCCGCUCCAGAAACCGUACCCAAUAUUUACAACAAAAGUUGUAUGUCUUUACGCUUAAGGAUUAAAAUGCUCUAAGGCGUGUUUUGAGUUUUUAUUUUAAGUUUUUAUUUAAUUUUCUAUGAGUUUCAAUAAUUAUUUUGGGGGGCUUAAAGGUUAAUUUGUCACUGUUACGUUUUGUUGUUGUGAAUUCAAUAAAAUAUAUUGUGCUAUAAAGCGUUUACUUUAUUCUCUCGUAUAUUCAGGAAUAAAAACUUAUUUUACUGAAUAAGACAAGCCAGCACUUAUUUCUAACAACAAACAGACAAAUGCAUUCAAAAGCUGUAACUUACAUAUUGUACAACAUUUUUUUUUAUCUUUCAAUAUUUUCAUUCAAUGUUUAAAGUAUGGAAUACCGCUUUAUCAAUGUUUAUAGUGCGAAAUAAUGCUUUAUGAAUGCUUAUAGAUCAGAAUCCUAUUGUUUCAAUGUUUAUAGACGGAUUCUCUGUCAUAUACAUUUCUGUGUUAAUUUGUUUGCGCAUGGUUAAUAAAUACAGGUGAAACAAUAUAAUGCACUGUGGCAAACUGAACUGUAUGCUUGUUGAAACUGACGUCAUUCUAUUGAUCGUUUUAGCUGUCUAGAAAAAUGCAUAAUUGUUUCUUCUCAUAACGAAACUGAAUGCUUACUCUAUCUUAUCCUUAUAUUGUCAAGUUUUCAAUGAAAAGGUUGAAUUAAACAUGUUGAAAUAAAA